rnacentral:ncRNA from 1 species
GACACUCUGGAGAAUCCCGGCCCGGGCCGGGUGCCGAAGGUGCAAAGCCGGUCAUCCGGCUAAUCUCUCAGGCGAAAGGACAGAGAC